rnacentral:tRNA from 1 species
GCCGGGGUGGCGGAAUUGGUAGACGCGAGAGACUUAAAAUCUCUUGGUGGUAACUCCACCAUGUGGGUUCGAGUCCCGUCCUCGGCA